rnacentral:rRNA from 1 species
GACAGAGGGUGCAAACGUGUUCGGAAUUACUGGGCGUAAAGCGCGUGUAGGCGGCUACCUAAGUCGGGCGUGAAAUCCCACGGCUCAACCGUGGAAGUGCACUCGAAACUGGGUAGCUAGAGUCCUGGAGAGGAAGGUGGAAUGCUUGGUGUAGAGGUGAAAUUCGUAGAUAUCAAAGCGGAACACCGGUGGCGAAGGCGGCCUCUGGACAGUGACUGACGCUAGA